rnacentral:lncRNA from 1 species
GGCGGGGGCACCGGGUGACCUACAGCUUGCCCUCAGCUCCUCUUCCGUGUACACUCCACCACCACGGAUGACUGUGAGUCCCCAACCUGGGGACAGGUGGGUGUGACAGUGCAGCUCUCUGGGAGCAGGUGCACGCGGGGCAGCCCCAUCAGUCCCCAAGCCCACGGGGCAUUAGCCAUGUGGUGGCAAAGGCAGGAAUUCUCCACAGCAGCCGGGGCAGAGUUCCACAGCCAGCGGCCUGCGCCGUGACUCUGACCCAGGGCUUGCUGUAAACACAGGGCACUUCUCCCGCCUCUGAGGAGUCUGUGGGGUGGCAUGGCCAAGUCGCAGGGCUGCUCGCAUGGACCAUGUCGGAAGGUGCAAGAUGCAAUAAUUGGAGCCUUACUCUGGUUGGGAGCUCCCGGAUGCUCAUGGACGCCCAAGAGUUUCAUCGGUAUUGUAGUUCUCUGAAUCUUCUGAGAAUGUAUCUCUCACUUGCUGGUGCUCAGGUAUCUUACCAAGAUAUCCUUCUUGUUAGCCACUUCUGGCUUGUCACUAAUUAGCAUAAUGUCAUUACUGUAGUGAACCAAUGCUAUGUUCCUUGGCAUGUCUUUAUUGUCCGUAAAGCUUUGGGCCACCUUAGUCAGCUUUCUAUUACUAUAACAAAUUACCUGAGAUGAUCAACUUCUAAAGAGGAAAGGUUUGUGGCACAAGCCACCUAUCUUUUUUGUAAUUCCAGUUACUAGGGAGGCUGGGGCAGAUGGAUUGCAAGUUCAAGGCCAGCCUGGAUAAUUUAGUGAGAUCCUCCCUGCCUCAAAAUGGAAAUAAAACAAGAACUAGGGAUGUAGCUCAGUGGUAGAUC